GAUAGACUGAAAGGAAGUCGAAAGAAUUAUUCGUAUCGAACAAGUAUGGCGGCUUUGUUUAUCGUUCUGUGGGUUUAUUUAAUCUCGGAUAUUCACCAAGGAAAGCUGGCGACUACUCCAAGCUCCUGCUUUACGGAAAUGCUGAAAAAAUUCAAGCUGACAUCCUAUGACAGGGAGUAGCCAGAAUUUGCUGAGGAAGAGGAGUUGGUGAUGGCAUAUAUGUUGAUAUUUUGAAAAAAAUGGCUUAAAAUCUGGGGAAUUAUUUUGAAAGAAUGGUAUCACUGCUUUUUGGUGGCCAAGAAGGGUGUAUGCACUCAUUUUACCACCUGUAUGGCUUGAAAAUUAAAACCAAUAAUUACUAGCUUUUGAUUGGAAUACAAAGUCAAUGGGGUAAGAGAACUAGGCUGUAGAAAACAUGAAUCAUAAAAGAUGCAUCAACCACACUAAUAGUAAGGACCUGCAACGAAAAAGCAGAAAAGGGUAUGGGCUGCCAGAGAGCCACAUGUAACAAGGGGUAGACAACAUAAGUGAAUAGUAUAGAAUAUUAGCUCAUAAGCUCAUGGUCUUUAAACAUCUUAUCAAAAUCAUGUAUUUAAUGCAAAAUAAAAAUACUUUAUCAACAUU